rnacentral:rRNA from 1 species
UACGAAGGGGGCUAGCGUUGUUCGGAUUUACUGGGCGUAAAGCGCACGUAGGCGGUUUGUUAAGUGAGAGGUGAAAUCCCAGAGCUCAACUCUGGAACUGCCUUUCAUACUGGCAAGCUAGAGUCCGGAAGAGGUAAGUGGAACUCCUAGUGUAGAGGUGGAAUUCGUAGAUAUUAGGAAGAACACCAGUGGCGAAGGCGGGCUUACUGGUCCGGAACUGACGCUGAGGCGCGACAGCGUGGGGGAGCAAACAGG